rnacentral:rRNA from 1 species
CCUACGGGUGGCAGCAGUGGGGAAUAUUGGGCAAUGGCGGGAACUCUGAACCAGCAAUGCCGCGUGAAUGACGAAGGUCUUCGGAUUGUAAAGUUCUUUAGUCCGGGAAGAAGUCAAUGCAGGUACCUGACGACUAAGCUACGGCUAACCUCGUGCCAGCAGCCGCGGUAAUACGUAGGGAGCAAGCGUUGUUCGGAAUGACUGGGCGUAAAGGGUGCGUAGGUGGUUGUACAAGUUAGAAGUGAAAUACCCAGGGUUUAACUCGUGAGCUGCCUCUAAUACUGUAUUGCUUGAAUGCAGAUGAGGUUAGUGGAAUGCCUAGUGUAGCGGUGGAAUGCGUAGAUAUUAGAAGGAACACCGGAUGCGAAGGCGGCUAACGAGACUGCAACUGACGCUGAUGCACGAAAGUGUGGGUAGCAAACAGGAUUAGAUACCCCGGUAGUC